GAUGAACGCUGGCGGCGUGCUUAACACAUGCAAGUCGAACGGAAAGGCCCAAGCUUGCUUGGGUACUCGAGUGGCGAGCGGGUGAGUAACACGUGGGUGAUCUGCCCUGCACUUCGGGAUAAGCCUGGGAAACUGGGUCUAAUACCGGAUAGGACCACAUGUUGGAUGGUGUGGUGGAGAGCUUGUCGGGGUGGGAUGAGCUCUGGGCCUAUCGGCUUGUUGGUGGGGUAAUGGCCUACCAAGGCGUCGACGGGUAGCCGGCCAGAGGGGGUGUACGGCCGCCUUGGCACCUAGAUGAGGCACCGACUGCGAAUGGAGGCAGAAGGGGGGAAUCUUGAACAAUGGGCGCCAGGCUGAUGAAGAGAGGCCGCGUGGGGGAUGACGGUCUUGGGGUUGUAAAAACCUUUCGCUAGGGACGACGCGUUAUGUGACGGUACCGGGAGAAGAAGCACCGGCUAACUACGUG
rnacentral:rRNA from 1 species